GAGCCCCGGCGUCCCGCCUGGACCCCCGAGCAGCACGCCACCCCGGGGGCACCCACCAGUGCCCGUCCCGAGCCCGCCCCGUCCUACAACGGCUCUGAAAUCCGGUGGACUCCGUACCGGGCGCUCUACCAGUACCGGCCCCAAAACGCCGACGAGCUGGAGCUGCUGGAAGGGGACCGGGUGGACGUCAUGCAGCAGUGCGACGACGGCUGGUUCGUGGGAGUGUCCAGGAGGACGCAGAAAUUCGGCACUUUCCCCGGGAACUACGUGGCGCCGGUGUGACCUGCAGCGCUGGGGACCCUGGUGGGAGGAGUGGGGCUGGGGGCUUCCCACUGCCCCGCCUCAGCCACCCUGUGUCCCCGCAGUGUCCCCCCACGGGGAUGAAGUGCCUCCAGCUCCCUCCCGCCCCUAUGGGGCUGCCUCUAACAGGGACAAAUUCCCCCGGCGCGGGGGGUGUCCCCCACCCCAGUGCCUUAACCCGCCCCCUCCUCACCGCUGCCCGGUGCCCACCGCCCCGGGGGUCGCCCCGGGGGUCUGGCCGGUGCCGGGCCUGACCAUGACGGCCGUGACCCGGGAUGUGGGUCUGUGUCCGGGAGUCGCCUCCGCUUCUUUUCCAUCAUUAAAGCUCAGCUCAGUCCGACUCCGAGAGUGCCGGGAUUGGGGAGGAGCCGGUCCCGGGACACGUCCCACCGGGAGCCGUGGGGCGGGAGCAGGGGGAGGACGCUGCGUGGGGCCGCGGGGAUCCCCCCACGCCCACGGGCGGGCCCGGUCGGUGCCGGGGCGGGCCCAGCCGCCGCCGUGCGCCCCGUCGGGGGGGUGGCCGUGCCCUCAGCCCGGCCCGGCCCGGCUCCUCCCGAGG
rnacentral:lncRNA from 13 species